UGUGAUUCAGCGAAAUAAAAUGACACCCCCGCCCCUCCCCUACGGAAGCAGCACAACUUUACCCGACUGAGCUGCCCCCAAGGCCUGGCCUUGGAUGAAAAUGGGAAAUCCCACUUUGGUGUAGUGGACAGUGAAAAGACUUAACAUUCAGGCCCGUGGGUGAGUCAUGUGCUUUUGCUGAGUGGCUGACCUCCCAUUUACUCAAGACCACGCAUUGUUUUUUGAAAUGUUACUUUUAUUUGUUUACUCAAUUGAUGUUUUCUGCAGCCUGGUGAGGUUUAUGGUCUUGGUCUUUGGGUUCAUUUUUAUGUGUGUGUUGGUUGCAAGAAGUGACCUCUUGGGAGUCUUUCGUGAGAAUUGAAGUGUCUUUGAUUUCCUUUGAGAAGGCUCUAUCUGUCCGUAUUUACAAAAACUAAGUCUCAGUGUAGCUCUAAGGCAGUGGUUCUUUGCUGCUGUAAUAAUGGUUGGGAGAUUUUUAUGAAUGGGGCUGUCAAGUUUCUUAAGUUGUUAGUCCUUAGAAUUUGUAGUCUGGAAGUGGUAGAGAAAGCUAUAUUCAACAGGAUUUAUGAAUGUGUUUCAAUUCCAAGUAGGUUUUGGAUGGUAAAAUCUGUUUUAUGAUUUUGCCAAUAAUAAAACAUUCCUUUUGGUUUAAUUUGGAUGGGGAUUAUCUUUUCUUCAAGGUGUUAUAGAUAACCAAGCCUUUCUUCCCCCAGAACUUCAUCCUGGGGAAGAUAAACCUCUCAGAUGGUUUCCAUUGACUACAUCUAGAAGGAAAAGUAUGAUUCGUAAGCAAGCAAGCAUUGCUUCCCUGUUUUGCACCAUACCCCUUUCCAUAGUAGGAAAAACAUAGUAUCUAAGGGCUUAAGCUGUGGAGUAAAUCUCUUAAUAAGAUCACUUUAGUUGGUCAUAACUGGAAGGAGAUGAGCCCACCUGUGUACAUCUAGCUAGAAUUCAGCCCCAGCCAAUUUGCUGAAGAUAAGGAGUUCUGCCUACAGAUGAAAGUCGGAACUUGAAAGUGGCUAUAUUUUCGGGAUAGGUUGACUAGCUUGGAUGGUGAUGAGAAAAAAAUUACCUAAGAAUUGCAAGAGAAUUACUGGCCACUUUGUAAAAUUUCCACUAAAUUAUUGAAUUGUUUAAAGGAAUUUAGACUUUGUUUCCAAAAGUUACCCUUUUGAACCAGUUGCUGUGAUCUUUGUACUAAAUUGCACUUUUGUUUUUGGAGGUUGGGAGGAUGCGAUAUUUUUCUGUUACACAAUUCAGGUUAUUGAAUGACUUGAGAUUUACAUAUUUAGAAGGAGAUUGGAAUCCUUGUACGUAAUUUAAAGCAAAAACUAUUUGGCACUUCAAUGAUUUGAAGACUCUGGGCUGUUAAAUCUUUUGACAACCACUGUCAUCUGUCACAAUUGUAAAGUAUUUAGAUUUCUGAUUUUGAAUAAACUUGUAAAAUAGAUCAUGUUUGUCUUUAUGCUCCCGGCAAAUGUAUAAAAAUGAAAGAAAAGCUUGUCAUUGGAAACUGCUACCAAUAUUUCAUAAAUCUUUGUGACUUUUGUGUUUAGCCAGGACUGCAUGUCUGCAAGGUGAGAAGUGUGGGGAUUCUUUGCAAAUGCUGACAGUUCAUUUUUAAUUCAUAAGACAUGAGUUUGUGAAAAAAUAAAAUUUUACAUUUUUUUGUUUUGUUUUACUGGAAUGUAAGUUCCAUGCAGGCAGGGUUAUGUUUGCUUGGUUUUGCCUAUUUUAAUUCUCUGUUGUAUCUUCAGCACCUAGAAGAGCACCUAAAGUAUUCUUUGAGUGAACAAACUGGAAAGAUAACUGAGCAAGAAUUUGGCAUACCAAAUGCAAAUAAUUCCUCUUAAAUUAAUAUUAGGAGGGGAUAUAAUUGGUUAGUAGUGAUUUAGAAGUAAUGUGACUUUUAAGUAGGAUGGUAAGGUCCAGAAAUUGCAGUGUACUUAUUUAUAGUCCGGGCAAUGUGACAUGCAGUUGCUUCUGUGCACUGUCUACUGUACAUUUCCCACUUAGUUUGAAAUGUGGUGAGUGGGUUUGGGCUGUGGUUCAACACUGGCCUGGGAAAAGUAUUUUAAGAGGGAGAUGAAGUGGGUAAUAAACAUGUAUGGGUAGCAUUUCUUCAAUGUGAAUCUCAUGUUGUCAAUAAAAACUUGAUCUUUUUUUUUUUAACAUUAAGCACUUUCUUUUUAAUAUUCGGGUUUCAUGUGGACGUGAUUGCCCAAUCAAUUUCAGCGAUUAGUUCCUGAGCUCUUACUAUGUGCAAAGGAAGACAAAAAGAUAUUUGCACUCUAAACAGGCUACAACUCAUUAAACUGAAUCCACACAUCCCACCUUAAAUCAUGGGAUAUGUUCCAUUCUAAAGAAACAGAUAAAGUCCAGUGUCAAAGUUAAGGCAAACAGCCAUCUGUCGCAUUCUUGACAACCCUGAAGUGGGGGAAUAGCACUGACUGGUCCACCAUCAUUUGAAAAUGAGAUUGAUAUCUGUUGGGAAUAGAUCCAGGAAUAGGACACCCAGUUGAAUCAUGCAGCCUUUGGGUUGGAAACAAUAGGUGGAAUUCUCUUCCUGUCCCUUGUCCUUCAACUAACUCAACACAGUGAAUGGUGGCUCCUGCCUCUUGGUCACAGGUCAGUAUGAAAACAGACAAACCAUUUUAGUAUC